GACCUGGAUCUAUGCGACUGCAACGCCUAAACCUUGUCAGGACCGGAAGGUAGCAGCAACACAGGAUGCUUGUGGUAGGCGUAGUCUCCGGGUCGCCC
rnacentral:SRP_RNA from 14 species